UCUUAUGAAGAAAGCUAUGAUGAAGAACGCUAUCAUAUCAUUUUUUGCUCGUGGGAUUUCUAUCAGCAAUCCAUAUUGUAACGUUUAACUUCUUCCAGAGAUGGCCUCCCAAGGAUGUGGAUAAUCUAAAGGAGAUUCAUCAGAUACUUGACCUAGCACAAUAUUCUUUGCAAAGCUUGCUGCGGAUCUUUAAACAGCAUCGCAACUGUAUUCCAGACGAACAUUAUGUGCAGACAUUACUUGCUAUGAAUGGGCUUGAAGAUGAACUUGAAAGAAGAACAUUGACCUUUACCAUGUGGAAUCACUCUGUCACAAAGGCGCAAACGUCAUGGCACCCUGUUACUUUCGAUUACGAUGAUGUCAGUGCUAACAAAAUCAAUGAAAUAAAAGUUAUCAACUCUAUAUCCCGUAAACAAGGAAAUCAAAGUGUGAUGUGCCAUGUCAACAACAGACAUUCACCUUGUUUUUUGUUCGCAAGAAAAUUCACAUAUAGAGCGGCUUUACAACUCCUGACCCAAGACUUGGUUGGUUUAUAUAAUUCUACUACAUCAUAAAACAUACCACCAUGAACAACUCCACUAUUAGAAAUAGUAUGUGCUACUGUAGAGAUUUUGUUUGUUCUUGCACUACUAAGCUUUCAGCACCAUAGUGGGUUCUAUUUGUAUUGAUUUAUGAACUCUUUUUU